rnacentral:misc_RNA from 1 species
UGGUUCUGGCAUCGAUGAAGAACGCAGCGAAAUGCGAUAAGUAAUGUGAAUUGCAGAAUUCAGUGAAUCAUCGAAUCUUUGAACGCAUAUUGCGCCCGCUGGUAUUCCAGCGGGCAUGCCUGUUCGAGCGUCAUUUCACCCCUCAAGCCUCCGUCUGCUUGGUGUUGGGGCACAGCCCGUCACAGGGCUGGCCCUGAAAUUCAGUGGCGAGCCUGUUAGGACUCCGAGCGCAGUAGUUACUUCUCGCUUCUGGUUGGCCUAGCGGUCCUCUGCCGUAAAACCCCCCCAUAUCUCUUUUAGAAAGUUGACCUCGGAUCAGGUAGGAAUACCCGCUGA